rnacentral:lncRNA from 1 species
AGUUAGGAAGCUGGCUUUUGGUGGUGGUGGGUGUUGAGUGUGUUUCUUCUCUGCUAACUUGAGCCAUGGGCAGGAGGCUUUCUACUGUGGGGUGAAGGGCUAAUUGGAAACGUGGUCAGCGGCAUGUCCCCAUAAUCGCUGUAGGUGAGCAGUCAGAAAAGGGAUGUGUCCUGAGAUUUAUGUCAGUUAUACUAUUGCAUUGUAGUUUGCAAGCUCCCCAAAAUGGUGGGCCUUUGCUUUUAAGACAGGCAAGGAUCCAAGACGUUAGGUUGAACAAUAACAAACCCACCUUCUUCAGGGUUUGGGGAUUCCUGUGUGUCUUCCAAGAAAGGCAAGUGUUGGAUCAGUGACAUGGCUUAGCAGGUAAAGAUGCUUGCACUCACUAACCUGAGUUUGAGCCCUUGGAGAUCCACAUGCUGGAAGGAAUGAAAAGACCCCCACAAGUUGUUCUUUGAUUUUGCGCACAUCCUCCCCCUCAUAAGAAAAUAUAAAACAAAAA